rnacentral:rRNA from 1 species
AGAGUUUGAUCCUGGCUCAGGAUGAACGCUGGCGGCGUGCCUAAUACAUGCAAGUCGAGCGAACGGACGAGAAGCUUGCUUCUCUGAUGUUAGCGGCGGACGGGUGAGUAACACGUGGAUAACCUACCUAUAAGACUGGGAUAACUUCGGGAAACCGGAGCUAAUACCGGAUAAUAUUUUGAACCGCAUGGUUCAAAAGUGAAAGACGGUCUUGCUGUCACUUAUAGAUGGAUCCGCGCUGCAUUAGCUAGUUGGUAAGGUAACGGCUUACCAAGGCAACGAUGCAUAGCCGACCUGAGAGGGUGAUCGGCCACACUGGAACUGAGACACGGUCCAGACUCCUACGGGAGGCAGCAGUAGGGAAUCUUCAGCAAUGGGCGAAAGCCUGACGGAGCAACGCCGCGUGAGUGAUGAAGGUCUUCGGAUCGUAAAACUCUGUUAUUAGGGAAGAACAUAUGUGUAAGUAACUGUGCACAUCUUGACGGUACCUAAUCAGAAAGCCACGGCUAACUACGUGCCAGCAGCCGCGGUAAUACGUAGGUGGCAAGCGUUAUCCGGAAUUAUUGGGCGUAAAGCGCGCGUAGGCGGUUUUUUAAGUCUGAUGUGAAAGCCCACGGCUCAACCGUGGAGGGUCAUUGGAAACUGGAAAACUUGAGUGCAGAAGAGGAAAGUGGAAUUCCAUGUGUAGCGGUGAAAUGCGCAGAGAUAUGGAGGAACACCAGUGGCGAAGGCGACUUUCUGGUCUGUAACUGACGCUGAUGUGCGAAAGCGUGGGGAUCAAACAGGAUUAGAUACCCUGGUAGUCC